GGGUCAGUAGGUUGGUCGUGCCACCGGUACGUACUGGUCUCACUGAUUCCUCCUUCCUGAAGAACCGUAAUGCCAUUAAUUUGGUGUUGCGGGGAAACAGGACUGUUACUUUGAAAAAAUUAGAGUGUUUAAAGCAAGCUAACGCUUGAACACAUUAGCAUGGAAUGAUGAAAUAGGACGAUCGAUCCUAUUUUGUUGGUUUCUAGGAUUGACGUA
rnacentral:rRNA from 1 species